rnacentral:lncRNA from 1 species
UUCAGGGGCUGCUGAUUGAUGGCAGUGGAAAGGCCUACAGCUGCCAAGCCAGGGGGCAGGAGCUCCAGCCCAGGCCUCAGGCCCUGAAGACACAGUUACCGGGUUACAGGCUGACAGGACAUCCAACCCUCUGGCUAUGGCAUCUUGGAGGAACAGGCAGGCCUUGAAAAUAGCAGAAAUUCCGAAUUCCCCUGCCCCGGGAGGACUCAAAGGACCCUGCUGAGGACAGAGCUGAUAUGGCCUCAGAAUAAAGAUGAGGGAAGACCAUCCCAAGGAAGACCCCUCUAGCCCAUGGCAAAAGGGCUGGAAUACGCAAGGAUUUGAAAAGCAAGUUUUGCUUUCCAUAUAAACCUAAGCAAGUCGCUUAAUCUGUGAGCCUCAACUACUUUACUUGUGCAAUGGGCAUGUUGCUGGUAGUGGUGAUAGCAGGGAGCCACCGAGAGAGCUUCCAAGUGUGCCAUCUAAGCCCUCCUCUGGGGAAGGGAAGCUCCUCUGGGGAAGGGAAACUGGACCCCCGGGAAAAUUUAUUCUCCCAGGGACGAACAUCCAGACAUUUCCCUGUAGGAGCCUCAGUGUGUUCAGAUGUUCACUGUCCAGUAGAAACAAGACAUCUAGGCAACUCUCCCAUCUCACCAAGCCUCUGCUCUCUUCUGUGGCCACUGUGGGGUUGUGAGAGUAAUGUCAAGACCCAACCCAAUUAGAACACAGGGAAUUUUGCCUGGGAAAGGGAGCCCUUCUACCCUACACCCCUGCUUUCUCUCUUCCAAGGAUCAGGUCUGAUUCAUGUCUGCAUCCUAAAGGCUACAAAUAAACUGUGUCCGGAAAGGAAAAUAUUAUGUGUAUUGCCUUCUUCAAGGCUAAAAACCAGUCUCAACAGAGAGG